rnacentral:sRNA from 1 species
CUGUUUCGAUUUGCUGGGGCGCAAUAAAAUGAAUAUGGCAGUCAAUACCGCCGGCGGUCAAAAUCAAACCUUCGCCGGCAAUAACUUCGGUGNNNNNNNNAAUCACGAGGGUAGCGUCGACCCCGUCCAUCGUAUCCGGGUUGCCGGCCUUGCCGAUGCCGACAAUCUUGCCCUCGCGGAUGCCAAUGUCCCCCUUGACAAUGCCCCAAUAGUCCACAAUCAGCGCGUUGGUCACCACCAAGUCUAGUGCCCCGUGUUCCCGAGUCUUCCAGGCCGAUUGGCCCAUGCCGUCGCGA